rnacentral:rRNA from 1 species
AUUGAACGCUGGCGGCAUGCCUUACACAUGCAAGUCGAACGGCAGCGCGGGAGCAAUCCUGGCGGCGAGUGGCGAACGGGUGAGUAAUACAUCGGAACGUGCCCAAUCGUGGGGGAUAACGCAGCGAAAGCUGUGCUAAUACCGCAUACGAUCUACGGAUGAAAGCAGGGGACCGCAAGGCCUUGCGCGAAUGGAGCGGCCGAUGGCAGGUUAGGUAGUUGGUGAGGUAAAGGCUCACCAAGCCUUCGAUCUGUAGCUGGUCUGAGAGGACGACCAGCCACACUGGGACUGAGACACGGCCCAGACUCCUACGGGAGGCAGCAGUGGGGAAUUUUGGACAAUGGGCGCAAGCCUGAUCCAGCCAUGCCGCGUGCAGGAUGAAGGCCUUCGGGUUGUAAACUGCUUUUGUACGGAACGAAACGGCCUUUUCUAAUAAAGAGGGCUAAUGACGGUACCGUAAGAAUAAGCACCGGCUAACUACGUGCCAGCAGCCGCGGUAACAC